UACGAAGGGGGCUAGCGUUGUUCGGAAUUACUGGGCGUAAAGCGCGCGCAGGCGGUUCUUCAAGUCAGUGGUGAAAGCCCGGAGCUCAACUCCGGAUCUGCCAUUGAAACUGUAGAACUUGAGGAUGAGAGAGGUGAGUGGAAUUCCCAGUGUAGAGGUGAAAUUCGUAGAUAUUGGGAAGAACACCGGUGGCGAAGGCGGCUCACUGGCUCAUUUCUGACGCUCAGGCGCGACAGCGUGGGGAUCAAACAGG
rnacentral:rRNA from 1 species